rnacentral:snoRNA from 1 species
UCAACAGGAUGAAGUUUUUUUAUCAAUAUAUGUUUUUUCUGGCAUCUCUAAUGUUAGAACCUCACGGUUCGAUGAAUAGAACUCUUGACACUAUCUGAUG